CUUUGAGUUCCCAGUACGAGACACAGUGCGGUUUCUCUUGAAGGGUUCAGCAGUUUCUCGGCUUUAUCGGGAGUAGAAUGAAUAAAAACAAUGUUGUUUCUCCUGUAAUUGUACGGGGUACAACUGUAUUGCAAUUGCCCGCAGAACUAUAUGGAGGACAACUGUAUCAAUAUCAGAAGAUUGAUAAGAGAUGGAAAAUUGACUUCCAUCAAAUCGUAUGACUUGCACAUUUCACUGAACUGAGUUAAAAGAGCAUGACUUGGCAAGUCAUUCAGCACCUUUCAACUGUUUGAUGCAGUAAUAAUACUGUUACACCCAGGAAGGUUCCCCAAAUAUUUCGCCAAUUCUUCACAAACUUUUCAACUCUUCAACUUUCUAACUGGUGAAAUUCUUUUGGGAUCUAUUGAAGAAGAGGCUCACACUUUCCGACGAUUACUGUUCUACUCUUCUAUCACGUUCACGAAUUAUUUUGUCAAUGAUGAAUGAAGAGUAAUGUGCAUUAUUAUUUUAGCACCAAAUAACCAUUUUAAACGAUAAUAGUUGAUUAUCAUAUUGUUUAUAAUACAAU